rnacentral:lncRNA from 1 species
UCUGAUGACUUCUGGGUUAGAGUGUUCUCUCUGGGUCAGUGGACCCAAGUGUGAUCCAUCAGUGGCAGAGUCAGUCUGCCAGUGUAGUCCUGUGUUUGUUGAGGGAAGAUGCUUGUCCACCGACCUGGUGGUUCUAGAUUUGACAGAUUUUGACGUCAUUCUAGGGAUGGACUGGUUAUCUACCCAUGGUGCUACCUUGGACUGCAGGGACAAGGUAGUCAGGUUCAGAGGUCAGGAUGGGUCUGAGGUU